UACGGAGGGUGCGAACGUUAAUCGGAAUUACUGGGCGUAAAGCGCGCGUAGGCGGUUUGAUAAGUUGGAUGUGAAAGCCCCGGGCUCAACCUGGGAACUGCAUUCAAAACUGUCAGGCUAGAGUUUGGUAGAGGGAGGUGGAAUUUCCUGUGUAGCGGUGAAAUGCGUAGAUAUAGGAAGGAACACCAGUGGCGAAGGCGGCCUCCUGGACCAAAACUGACGCUGAGGUGCGAAAGCGUGGGGAGCAAACAGGAUUAGAUACCCCGGUAGUCC
rnacentral:rRNA from 1 species